AAAGAAACAAACAGAGCCGACAUGAAAUCGAUGCCUAAAACACCUUAAUCUUCCAAUUAAAGCUCCUCAGCGGAUGCGGUGAGAUGGUAACUGUGAUAAGUGCAGGUUGGAGUGAGGCGAGGAGGAGCAGGAGGGAGGAAGAGGAGGAGGAGGAGGAGGAGGUGAAACCUACACAGGUACGUCUGUCACGGGUAAUUACCUUCUCAGCGCCCUCGGCUCUUCGAGCUGCCAGUCGUGUGUCUGUCAGAGAGAUCAGCUUACCUCUUGUCUGGGAGUGUGUGUGUGUGUGUUCACGUGCGCACAGAGUGAGUGUGUGUUAGAGGUGUGUGUGUACUCGAAGUCGGUGUGUGUCUGAUGGAGAUAAAAUGAGCGUGUAAGACUGGCAACAAGGAGGUAAUUUGUGUAAGUGUGUGGGAGUUAGAGGAGUGAGUGUGCAUACAGGUGUGCUGAGUGUUUGCACAAAUGAGCGUGUGCAAAGAGAAGCUGUUUGCAUACGUGUGUGUGUAUGCAAAGUUAAGCACGUGUGUGCAUGUGUGUGUGUGUGUGUGUGUGUGUGUGUGUGUGUGUGUGUGUGUGUGUGUGUGUGUGUGUGUGUGCAGGUUUUGUAAAUGUGCAUCUGUAAUUGAAGAAGGAAAAAAAAGAGAGUGUGAGAAAUCCUGAGAGCAGGUUUGUGUGUUCCUAAAAGUGUUAGUGUGGAAACUCGAUAAGUAAGACAGCAUGUACCUGGAGAGAGAGAGAGAGAGAGAGAGAGAGAGAGAGAGAGAGAGAGAGAGAGAGAGAGAGAGAGAGAGAGAGAGAGAGAGAGAGAGAGAGAGAGAGAGAGGUGUGUAUGGGUGACAAGAAGGUGUGUAGCUUUCUGAGAUCCACACACACACACCUUUCAACCCCACAAAGCAUCCAUUGAGAAGUGAAAAGGUAGCGGGCCGAUGGGAGGGAUUGUUGUGCAAACAGGCGAACACAAAGGAGGUGUGUGUGUGCGUGUGUGUGUGUGUGUGUUAAGAGGCGGCGGGCAGGUAAUAGAGCAGACAUAAUGGGAGCUAAGUACCUGUAAUCCUUGGAGAUAUCACUCCAGACAAGAGGGGACUCUGGGUAAUUCCCUCCGGUUGGUGUAAUUGGUCCCUCGCCAGGUUGGAGUAUGUGUUGUGUGUGUGUGUGUGCGUGCUGGGGUGUUUAGGGCGGAGUAUCAGGUGUGAGAGGGCGUCAGCUGCUCUGAGUGCCUUCUAUUGAUCCAGGAGAGGGACUGUGUGUAUGAAAAUGUGUGUGUUUGUGUGUGUGUGUGUGUGUGUGUGUAAGUGUGCGUUUCUGACCCAAAUUCAGCUGGAAGCAUCUGGCAGAGAAAAACAACAAGCAGCUCCUACCUGAUUCACCAGGAAGAGGAGGCAGGUGCAGGAGAGGUGGAUCAUGAUGGCCAUGGCGAUGAUUAUGAUGAUGAUGAUGAUGAUGAUGAUCUGCUCAGGUCCUGCCAACAAAACAAGAUCCUGAAUCAGUUUAGUGGUUGCAUCAGUGUACGAUAAAGAGUGAUCCUGCAAGACACAGAUGUAUGUUAGGCCAGAGGUCACUGAUCUCCACCAUCAGAGAUCUAUCCUGUCUUUACUGAGUGAUAAGGAUAUUAGGGCGGCGGCGGUGGUGGCGGAGAGUCUCUCCAGUCUGUUCCUGUCGGACUGACGUGUAAAAAGAAACCAAAAUGAAGAUCUCAGAGAUCUGUUUGAGCAAAGACGUCUUUUCUGUGUCUGUGAAAACAUCGUCCCUGAAGCUGCUGAAGCAUGAGUCAAUGUCAAUGAGAGAACAUGAUUAAAUUAAGGAUAUGUGAGAAACCGUCUGUGUGUGUGUGUGUGUCUAAUGCUUACACAUGCAUGCAUCUCCAGCACAUGUGCGUGCGUGCGAGCAUGUGUGUGUGUGUGUGUGUGUGUGUCCCAUUUCUUCUGGAUAUCUGCUAAUUGUGCAUUUCAUUUCUGCUCAAGUGACUCUUUUAAGGCAAAACAGAUACUGAGAGUUUGAGCGCCGAGAGCGACGGCGAGAAGCGAGGACGAGGAGGAGAAGAAGAAGAAGACAGAGCGAAAAGAGAAAAAAAAAAAAAAACACAGCAGAGAUAAGAAACAGGAAAGACAGCUGCUCUUUUCCCUCUCAUUUCAUCCAGUUAUUGGUUAACUCGGUGGAAAGAAAGUAAAUGUUCAAGGGAUUUCAGGUCGGCCCCUGCCUCCGCCAAGGUAGACGUGCACUCCACUUGAGGUCUAAUUCAACUCUUGUGUAGUAUUGAUCGCGGCGGCGGCCACAAGGGAGCCCGCCGGUCUUUCCCCCGGACUAAGGUAGACAACGGUGAGAGAAAAACGUGUUGUAAAUGCCUCCCUCCCUCCUCCUCUCCCCUGUUGGUACGAAGCUGCUGCUGCUUUUUUCUUCUUCUUCUUCUUCUUCUUCUACCCACUUUUGAGUGUUUUUUUUUUUUUCCUCCCUUCAGAUUUCGCCGCAGAGUGAUGGAACACCUUUGGAAAACCACCGCGGGGACCGCUGCGUUCGGCGCUCAGGGGUGUAAUUUGAAGAAGAACAAGAG